rnacentral:snRNA from 1 species
AGCCACUCAGUGAUCACAGAGCGAUCUAUUCUUUUGCCUUUUACUAAAGAAUACGGUGUGCACGCUGCAAUUAGUUGCAACGAGUGGCUCAAUGUCAUAGCCAAUUUCUUCUGCAUUAAGCUCUCUUGAUGG